rnacentral:rRNA from 1 species
GACAGAGGGUGCAAGCGUUGUUCGGAAUUACUGGGCGUAAAGCGCGUGUAGGCGGCCCGGCAAGUCGGAUGUGAAAGCCCUGGGCUUAACCUAGGAAGUGCAUUCGAAACUGCUGGGCUUGAGUUCUGGAGAGGAAGGCGGAAUUCUCGGUGUAGAGGUGAAAUUCGUAGAUAUCGAGAGGAACACCGGUGGCGAAGGCGGCAUCCUGGACCGACAUUGACGCUGAGGAGCGAAAGCCAGGGGAGCAAACGGG